rnacentral:rRNA from 1 species
GGUCAGCCACACUGGGACUGAGACACUGCCCAGACUCCUACGGGAGGCUGCAGUCGAGGAUCAUUGUCAAUGCGCGAAAGCGUGAACAUGCGACGCUGCGUGGAGGAUGAAGGCCUUCGGGUCGUAAACUCCUGUCAUCCGGGGAAAACGAUUCCGUCCCGAAUACGGGCGGGAAGUGAUGGUACCGGAAGAGGAAGCCACGGCUAACUCUGUGCCAGCAGCCGCGGUAAUACAGAGGUGGCGAGCGUUGUACGGAUUUACUGGGCGUAAAGGGUGCGUAGGUGGCUUCGUAUGUCGGGUGUGAAAGCCCACGGCUCAACCGUGGAACUGCAUCUGAAACUGCGGGGCUAGAGUGCAGGAGGGGAGAGCGGAAUUCUUGGUGUAGCGGUGAAAUGCGUUGAUAUCAAGAAGAACACCGGUGGCGAAGGCGGCUCUCUGGAAUGCUACUGACACUGAGGCACGAAAGCUGGGGGAGCAAACAGGAUUAGAUACCCUGGUAGUCCCAGCCGUAAACGGUGUCGACUUGGUGUGGGGGGAAUUGACCCCCUCCGCGCCGGAGCUAACGCGUUAAGUCGACCGCCUGGGGAGUACGGCCGCAAGGCUAAAACUCAAAGAAAUUGACGGGGGCCCGCACAAGCGGAGGAGCACGUGGCUUAAUUCGAUGCAACGCGAAGAACCUUACCAGGGCUUGACAUGCAGCUGCUUCCUCCCCGAAAGGGGAGGGUCCUUCGAGGGUGCUGCACAGGUGCUGCAUGGCUGUCGUCAGUUCGUGCCGUGAGGUGUUGGGUUAAGUCCCGCAACGAACGCAACCCCUGUGGUUAGUUGCGACCACCGGUGAUGAGCCGGUGAGCACUCUAGCCAGACUGCCCGUACAAGCGGGAGGAAGGUGGGGACGACGUCAAGUCAGUAUGGCCCUUACGCCCUGGGCUGCACACGUGCUACAAUGGUCGGUACAGAGGGAUGCAAGACCGCGAGGUGGAGCAAAUCCCGAACACCGGCCCCAGUUCGGAUUGGAGUCUGAAACUCGACUCCAUGAAGUCGGAUUCGCUAGUAACGGCGCAUCAGCUACGGCGCCGUGAAUACGUUCCCGGGCCUUGUACACACCGCCCGUCACAUCAUGAAAGCCGUCUGCACCCGAAGUCGCUGAGCCAACCCCGGUCUUGCAUCCCUCUGUACCGACCAUUGUAGCACGUGUGCAGCCCAGGGCGUAAGG